CUAACUCUGGGAUUUAAGAAUAAGGAAAAGGAAGAAGACACAGCAUAUCCACUCUGCAAUACAGAUUUCAAUCAAGCCUCUGAAGCCACAGAAAAUGGAUGAAUACACAAUAAUUAAGUGGACAACUUUAAGAACGCCUGCCUCCCACUGUCUGUGCAGCAGCUGUUAUGAUUAAGCAGCAUUGGCUUCCGACUCCUUUUGGUGCAGUAGAAUAAGCUAUCCUAUUGCUUCCUUGCUGUGCUGCCCCAAGAGGUUGUACAUCAUCUGCCUGACACAGAAGCAUUCCAGGAUUGUUAGCAUAAUGCUGGGACCUAUCGCAAGAGGUUGAUAUCCAGGUGACUUACCAGAUUCGGAAACUGGGAACAACCCAAGUCAACAGCCAUUUUUAACUCUCCUUUUAAAAGCUGGUUUAUCUCCUUUCUGGCUAUGGGAAGCAGCUCAUCUCAUCUAAUCUAUGCAAUGGAAAUGCAUAGGAGAGGAGGUUCCAUACAUACCCCAUGUGUGGAAAGAAAAACCAGCUUUCCUGCUGAUAGGCACAACUAAGUGUUAUAGCAACAGACCUGGAAAAUGCCCAAAGAAGCCUGAAUGGGCACUCCAUAACAAUAGAUAUAUGGUUAGCCCCACAAUGAUUAUCUUUUAAUGCAGUAGACUUCAAUAGGAACCUAGAAGGAGAAACUUCCACUUUGGGAAUUGUUGGCCAUAAAACUAGAUGGAAAUGGACUUGGGUAGCCUUCAUCAACCAGGAUGCCUGCUUUUUUUUUCCUCGUGCCUUUCGUGUAGACCACUGCAGAUGGUGAUAAGACCAAUCGGCGUUUCAACUACAAGCGCACCAUCACUGCCCUGCCAUGUAUUGUAUUCCACCUCCAGUGAAUACAGUCAACUUAUCUAUGCAGUGGACUGGGCAUAGCACUUGUGAGGUUUGGAUAAUGGGGAUAAAUGUAAUCCUUAUUUACAUUUACAUUUUUUUCUGAAAGAGUUUCCCGCUCCAUAGAACAGAGGGACUAGACAUAGAACAUGUUAAACAUGACAUAGAACAUGUUAAACUAAAUAGUCGAUGUUACACCACGAUCACCUAUUGAGUUAGAAGGAUACACAACCAAUGGAGUGCAUCCCUUUGUUGAGAGUUCCUCAAUAUAUCACGACCCUGUCUUGCUUGAUGCAUCUUAUUGCUCACUCACAAGAAUGAUUCAUGAAGAUGUAAAUGUCUGGAUGUUUACUCUUUUUUUUCCUGAUAUGGGUGACACUUAUUAUGUGUAUCGCAAGUCUCCCCACAUCACAAGCAAUUGGGUUGAUUUUUAAAGUCUGCUCUGAUUCAAGGCAGACAAACUCUGAAGGAUAGUUCAUCUUAGAUGUGUGGGCCUGCAGUUUAUAAAGUGUUACUUCAUACCUGGUAUGGUGUGUGUACUCUGGGGACUUUUAUUUCCAGGAGUACGGGUAUAUGCAUAUACAUAUGCAUAUUCUCAGCUUUUAGGAUGACAUCCCAACUUCCAUUAUUGCAUUAAGGGAAAUACCUCUUCCAUUCUAGUAUUUGCCUAGUUUAGGGUUGGUAUUUGGUAUUUGCCUAGUUUAGGGUUGCUGAAUUAGCACUUGUCCUUCUCCAUAUUUCUGCAUCAUUUCAAAUCUAUCCCCAUGUUGUAGCCAGUGCCACUAGGAUUUAAUUGCAUUCAAUGCAUUAGGAUUUAAUGCACUAGGAUUUAAAUGCAUUCAAUUGCAUUAAAUGGAAAUACCCCUUCCAUUCUGUGUUGUGUUGGUAUUUGCCUAGUUUAGGGUUGCUGAAUUAGCACUUGUCCUUCUCCAUAUUUCUGCAUCAUUUCAAAUCUAUCCCCAUGUUAUAGCCAGUGCCACUAGAAGACUACAAACUGAAGUUUAGUUCCAUACCCCAUGUGUGGAAAGAAAACCCAGUUGGGCGGAUAGGCACAACUAAGUGUUAUAGGAACAGACCUGGAAAAUGUCCAAAGAAUGGGCACUCCAUACGAAUAGAUAUAUGGUUAGCCCCACAAUGAUUAUCUUUUAAUCCAGUAAACUUCAAUGGGAACCUAUAUGGAGAAACUUCCACUUUGGGAAUAGUUGGCCAUAACACUGAAAACUAUAUGGAAAUGGACUUGGGUAGCCUUCAUCAACCACAACGCCUACUUUUUUUUUCUCAUGCCUUUCUUGUGGAUCACCACGGAUGCUGAAAAGACCGAUCAGCAUUUUAACUACAUGUUUACCAUCACUGCACUGCCAUAUAUGUAUUCAACCUCCAGUGAAUACUUGCAGAAAACUGAGGGUGAAUUGCAUGGCCAGAAAAAUGGCUGUGGGUGCCACUUCUGGAACACAUGCCAUAGCUUCGCAUCGCGGACCUAUUGAGUUAGAAGGAUACACAUCCUAUGGAGUGCCUCCCUUUUUUGCGAGUUCCUUAAUAUUUAACGACCCUGCCUUUCUUCAUGUAUCUUAUUGCUCACUCACUGGAAUGACUCAUGAAGAUGUAAAUGUCUGGAUGUUUACUCUUUUUUUCUUGAUAUGGGUAACACUUACUGUCUGUACUGCAAGUCUCCCCAGAUCACAAGCAAUUGGGUUGAUUUUUAAAGUCUGCUACGCUGCAAGGCAGACAAACUCUGAAGGAUAGUUCAUCUUAGAUGUGUGGGCCUGCUGUUUAUAAAGUGUUACUUCAUACAUGGUAUGGUAUCUGUACUCUCGAGUUUUUCCCCUUGUAUUUUCAUUGAUGUGUUAACUGUAAGAGGGACUGAAAGUCGAUGAUCUGGGUUCCGACUUUGAAUAAGAGAAAUUCUUUUUAGCCAGGAUAUUCUAAAUAAAUCAUAAUUAAAUGAUG